GGUUAAGCGACUAAGCGUACACGGUGGAUGCCCUGGCAGUCAGAGGCGAUGAAGGACGUGCUAAUCUGCGAUAAGCGCCGGUAAGGUGAUAUGAACCGUUAUAACCGGCGAUUUCCGAAUGGGGAAACCCAGUGUGACUCGUCACACUAUCAUUAACUGAAUCCAUAGGUUAAUGAGGCGAACCGGGGGAACUGAAACAUCUAAGUACCCCGAGGAAAAGAAAUCAACCGAGAUUCCCCCAGUAGCGGCGAGCGAACGGGGAGGAGCCCAGAGCCUGAAUCAGCAUGUGUGUUAGUGGAAGCGUCUGGAAAGGCGCGCGAUACAGGGUGACAGCCCCGUACACAAAAGCGCAUGUGCUGUGAGCUCGAUGAGUAGGGCGGGACACGUGGUAUCCUGUCUGAAUAUGGGGGGACCAUCCUCCAAGGCUAAAUACUCCUGACUGACCGAUAGUGAACCAGUACCGUGAGGGAAAGGCGAAAAGAACCCCGGCGAGGGGAGUGAAAAAGAACCUGAAACCGUGUACGUACAAGCAGUGGGAGCACAGGUUUACCUGUGUGACUGCGUACCUUUUGUAUAAUGGGUCAGCGACUUAUAUUCUGUAGCAAGGUUAACCGUAUAGGGGAGCCGUAGGGAAACCGAGUCUUAACCGGGCGUUAAGUUGCAGGGUAUAGACCCGAAACCCGGUGAUCUAGCCAUGGGCAGGUUGAAGGUUGGGUAACACUAACUGGAGGACCGA
rnacentral:rRNA from 1 species